GGGAUAACCUCGGGAAACUGGGGAUAAUACCCGAUAGGUCUGAGAUGAUGGAAGGCCCUCAGGCCCAAACCCUGCGGGGCUCGAGGAUGGGUCUGCGGCCUAUCAGGUAGUAGGGGGUUUCACGGACCCCCUAGCCAUAGACGGGUACGGGCUUUGGGAGAAGUCGCCCGGAGAUGGAUUCUGAGACACGAAUCCAGGUCCUACGGGACGCAGCAGGCGCGAAACCUCCACAAUGUGGGCAACCACGAUGGGGGAACUCCAAGUGUCUACACUAUGUGUAGUCUGUUCUCGAGCCUAAAAAGCUCGAGAAGUAAGGGCCGGGUAAGACGGGUGCCAGCCGCCGCGGUAAUACCCGCGGCCCGAGUGGUGCUCAUUAUUAUUGAGCCUAAAGCGUCCGUAGCUGGCCGGGCAAAUCUCCGGGUAAAUCGGGCCGCCCAACGGUCCGAACGCCGGAGACACUGCUCGGCUUGGGAUCGGGAGAGGGUGAAGGUACUCCCGGGGUAGGGGUAAAACCCUGUAAUCCGGGGGGGACCACCAGUGGCGAAGGCGUUCACCUAGAACGAAUCCGACAGUGAGGGACGAAGCCCUAGGGCGCAAACGGGAUUAGAUACCCCGGUAGUCUAGGGUGUAAACUCUGCAGACUUGGUGUUGGGGGUCCUGCGUGGGCUCCCAGUGCCGGAGUGAAGAUGUUAAGUCUGCCGCUUGGGGAGUACGGUCGCAAGACUGAAACUUAAAGGAAUUGGCGGGAGAGCACCGCAACGGGAGGAGCGUGCGGUUCAAUUGGAUUCAACGCCGGAAAACUCACCGGGGGCGACGGAGGGAUGAAAGCCAGGCUGAAGACCUUGCCCGAUUCUCCGAGAGGUGGUGCAUGGCCGUCGUCAGUUCGUACCGUAAGGCGUUCUGUUAAGUCAGAUAACGAACGAGACCCUCGCCCUCAGUCGCGACCUCACGAGCGAUCGUGAGAGCACACUGGGGGGAUCGCUGCUGCUAAAGCUGAGGAAGGAGAGGUCUACGGUAGGUCCGUAUGCCCCGAAUCUCCCGGGCAACACGCGCGCUACAAAGGUGGGGACAAUGGGAUCCGACCCCGAAAGGGGAAGGCAAUCCUGAAACCCCAUCGUAGUCUGGAUUGAGGGCUGUAACUCGC
rnacentral:rRNA from 1 species